GGCAACAAUGCUUUGAGUUGGAUGAUGCACGUGAUGCGUGCGUGCACACGGAGCUUGCCGCUGAGCUCACUCGGGUUGUCCAUGUCGUCCGUUACGGUGAAAGUCUGUUGAUAUGACGAUAUCAGAUGAGGAGGUAAGCUGGCGUGAUGGGCUGGCGUGAAGGCUGUCCACUUCCCCCGUGUUAGCCACUUAGCUCCUGGCGUGGCUCCCGAAGCUGGAUGGCGUGCUCGCAGAAUCAGAUACAAUAGAGAGCUGAGGAUCUUGUCAUGGAUGCCAUUGACACUGCCAGGCCCAAAAUAAAUGGGCCUAGCAACCCCGGGCCCAAGAGCUGGGUGCGUUCAGCACCCCCACUUCCUCUCUUUCCAGACACCCGCUAGUGGUCAUCAAUGCUAGAAAGAAUCAGAUACAAUGGAGAGCUGAGGAUCUUGUCAUGGAUGCCAUUGACACAGAAUGGCAACCCCGGGCCCUGCAGCACCCCCCCUGUCAGCCCUAGCUCAUCUGAAGUGAGGAAAAGAAGAAGCUGAUGUCUGGUCGUCGCCGACGUCCUUGGUACAGAAAGGAUACGUGGAUGAUGUUUCUACACAAUAUCUAUUUGCGUGAAAACCAGGAAUCCUUACCGCUAGACCAAGGCUUAAUUUCUGGAAACUGGGAGGAAUUGAAUACCAUUUUCAUCGAUGCAAGUAACACAGACUAGUUAAAGAAAACAACACAGCAAAACCCAAUUACUGUCAAAUAUUGGAGUUUGAAUAAAGCAAGUUUGAUUGUCCAA